rnacentral:rRNA from 1 species
UACAGAGGGUGCAAGCGUUGUUCGGAAUUACUGGGCGUAAAGCGCGUGUAGGCGGCAACGUCAGUCGGAUGUGAAAGCCCUUGGCUUAACCAAGGAAGUGCAUCCGAUACUGCGUCGCUUGAGUGUCGGAGGGGAUGGCGGAAUUCCCGGUGUAGAGGUGAAAUUCGUAGAUAUCGGGAGGAACACCUGUGGCGAAGGCGGCCAUCUGGACGAUAACUGACGCUGAGACGCGAAAGCGUGGGUAGCAAACAGG